ACCGGAAGCGGAAGUGUGCCUCCUUGGUCGGUGUCCGUCCCGCUCCGGAGUGAGGUCGGUGUGGCAGUGGCUGCUUCCUGGAGGCCGCGGAGGUGGGACCUGCGUCUCUUGGUGCGUGGACAGGUCUCAGGUGUGGUGCAGGGAGAACUAGUCCAGUCCAGGCAGCUGGGGACCUAGGGCGACCAUCUUGCACAUCUGUCAGUCACAGGGAAGGAUUUCAACUGCUCUGGCUGGUGUGUGGACCAGACAUUGUUCAUCUGCCUCCAAUUUGCCCAGUGCUCUGCUUCCACUCCUGUCCCUCUUUCAGAAGUGCCUUUUUGGGAUCAGAGACAACAUUCCCUUAGACUUCCAGAAGGUGGAGAAAGAAAUGGUGAUCUCCUGCCUUACCAAGUAUGAUGUCCUUCUCCAGGGACCAGUCCCUUCAGAUAAUAUGACCAAAGAUCCAGUGAUCGCUGAGGAUGUGGCUGUGGUCUUUAGCCAGGAAGAGUGGGCUUUGCUGGAUCUUGCCCAGAGGAAACUCUACAGAGAUGUGAUGAUGGAAACCUGCAAAAACCUGGCUUCAGUCGUCUCUCGAAAUCUUAAUGGUGGAGAAAAGCUAUCCCGGAAACAUGUAAUGGGGCAAUUCAUGAAGAAUAAUAUGUGCGUUCAGUGUUGUAAAUUUCCCUGUCAACAUGCCUUUCUCUGGACCCAACAAAUUUUGGACUCAGUGGUCAUUGAGGAUGUGGCCGUGAUCUUUAGCCAGGAAGAGUGGGCAUUGCUGGAUGUUUCUCAGAGACAACUCUACGUAGAUGUGAUGAUGGAAACCUCCAGAAACCUGGCCUCAGUAGACUCUCGAAACCGUCAUGAGGGAGAAAAGUUAUCCAGGGAACAUAUAACGGUGCGACUCAUGAAGAAUAACACCUGUUCCUCCAUGUUUGGAGAAAUCUCUGAAUUACAUGACAGUAAAGAUCAGCGUAAAAACCAGGGUAGACUUUUGAGAAGUCUUACAGUAGAGAACCUCUGUGAAAGUAACGAAGACAAUCAAUGUUGGAAAACCGUCAGAGGGAUUCCAUGUCUUACUGUGCUAAAAAGACAUCUUGGAGAACCAAAUCCUAUUGAAUGCUGUGAGUGUGGAAAAGCCUUCAUGGAGCACCCAUCAUAUAAACACCAUGGCAGAUCUCACACUGGAUACAAUACCUGUCAGUGUAAGGAAUGUGCAGAAGCCUGUACUAGUUCGUCUCAGUUAACCACUCCUAUGAGAACUCUUAAUGGAAAGAAACCCCGUAAAUGUAAGGUCCUUCAUAUGGUAGCUGUGUUUGUUUCUUGAUCCCGGAGUGGAAUAGUUUGAAAUCCUUGAGCAACCAUCAUCUGAAGGUGGAACUUUUGAACUCUGGGAAGAAAUGAACUUGACCAACAGGUUGAAUAGACUGGAACUAAAGAGGAGUAAUAGUAAAAUAGCGAAUAAGGGUCCCAGGAGAGACUCUUGAAACCUUAAUGAUGGAGAAAAGUUAUCCAGGGAACAUACUAUGGUGUGAUUCAAGAAUAACACCUGGGCCUUCACAUUAGGAGAAAUCUCCAAAUCAGAUGACAAUAAAGUUCAGCAUAGAAACCGGGGUUGACAUUUGAGAAGUCAUAUAGUAGAGAACUUCUAUGAAAGUAACGAAGGCAGUCUCUGUGGGAAAGCCUUCAGCUGGAUUCCAAAUCUUACUGCGCUAAAAAGAAAUCCUCCAGAAGCAAACCCUAUUGAAUACUGUGAGUGUGGAAAAGCCUUCAUGGAGCACCCAUCACAUAAACAUCAUGGCAGAUCUCACAGUGGUACAAUACCUGUCAGUGUAAGGAAUGUGGAGAAGCCUGUACCUGUCCCUCUCACCUAGCCACUCCAAUGAGAACUCUUAAUGGAAAGAACCCCAUAAAUGUAAGGUAUGUGGGAAGGACUUCAUUUGUAUCUCAACCCUUAAGAAUCCUGUGACGACACUCACUGGUGGGAAAUGCUGUGAGUGUAACGAAUGUGGGAUAGAUUUCUCUAGUUUCUCAUCCUUUCAGACACAUGUAAAAGAUCAUAAGCCUGAAUAUAAAGAAUGUUGUAAAAUGUAUAGUGGUUCUUCAUCCCUUGUUUUACUUACAAAAAUUCAUAACAGAGGUAAGUCUUAUGAAUGUAAGGAAUGUGGGAAAGCCUUUAGUGUUUACUCAUCCCUGACUCAACAUAUAAGAACUCAUGAUGGAGAGAGACCUUAUACAUGUACGGAAUGUGGGAAGGCAUUUAGUCGUUUCUCAUACCUCAUUUCACAUAUAAGAACUCACAGUGUGGAGAGGCCUUAUGAAUGUAAGGAAUGUGGGAAAGCCUAGGUGUUUCUCAAAUCUCUCUCACUGUAUGAAAAUUCACAGUAGGCAAAGGCCUUACGAAUGUAAGGAAUGUGGGAAAGCCUUUAGUCAUUCCUCAUCUGUCACUCAUCAUAUGAGACCCCACAGUGCAGAGAGGCCUUAUAAAUGUAAGGAAUGUGGGAAGGCCUUUAGUGAUUCCUCACACCUUACUACACAGAAGAACUCACAGUUGAGACAGACCAUAUGAAUGCAAGGGACGUGGGAAAGCCUUUAGUGAUUCCUCAGCCCUCACUACACAUAGAACUCACAGUGAAGAGAUGCCUCAUGAAUGUAAAGGAUGUGGGAAAGUCUUUAGGACAACCUCAAACCUCACUACACAUAGAUGAACUCCAGUGGAGAGAUGCCCUAUGAAUGUAAGGAAUGUGGGAAAGCCUUUAGAGAUUCCUCAGCCCUCACUACACAUAGAAAAACUCACAGUGAAGAGAAACCUUAUCAAUGUAAGGAAUGUGGGAAAGCCUUUAAUGAUUCCUCACACCUUAGUAUACAUAUAAGAACUCACAGUGGAGAGAGACCUUAUGAAUAUAAGGAAUGUGGGAUAGCUUUCAGUUGUUCUUCAUUCCUAACCAAUCAUAUAAGAACUCCCAGUGCAGAGAUGCUUUAUCAAUGUAAGGAAUGUGGAAAAGUCUUUAGGCAAGUUUCAAACCUUACUAAACGUAGAAGAAUUCACAGUGAAUAGAGGCCUUAUGAAUGUAAGAAAUGUGGGAAAGCCUUUAGUGAUUCCUCAGCCCUGGCUACACAUAUUAGAUCUCACGGUGGAGAUAUGCCUUAUGCAUGUAAAGAACAUGGGAUAAUCUUUAGGGGAGUCCUACACCUCACUAAACAUAAAAUUCACUUUGGAGAGAGGCCUUAGGAAUGGACAGAAUGUGGGAAAUUGUUAUUUCCUCACACCUCACUUCACAUAUAAGAGCUGACACUUGAGAGACUACUCUGUGUCAAAAGUGGAAUGUUUCACCCUUAGCGCUAUAAUUUCAAACAGCAAAUUUCUGAAAGUCUAUGAUUAAAGAACAAAGUUUCUCUGUGAGUAAGAAAGUAAUACCAACUUAAAGAACGGGUUUAUUGAGCUACUUUGUGCCUUUGGCAGAAGUGAUAGUUUGAUUGUAACUAUGGCACUGUCCUCAUCAGUGUUUGUUACUUUCUCAGUGCAAGCUAAAUUUUACCUUUCUGAACGUCUUUACCUAUUACAAGUAGCGCUGCAGGGAAUAGCCUUGAGCAAAUGUGGUUUUAUAUUUUUAAUUUUUUAAUUAAUGUUAUUUUGCAUAGAAUUAAAUGCACUCAUC